rnacentral:rRNA from 1 species
CCUACGGGUGGCAGCAGUAGGGAAUAUUGCUCAAUGGGGGAAACCCUGAAGCAGCACCGCCGCGUGGAGGAUGACGGUUUUCGGAUUGUAAACUUCUGUCGCUAGGGAUGAAGAAUGACGGUACCUCUUAAGAAAGCCCCGGCAAACUACGUGCCAGCAGCCGCGGUAAUCCGGAGGGGGCGAGCGUUGUCCGGAAUGACCGGGCGUAAAGGGAGUGUAGGCGGCAUAUUAAGUGAGGUGUGAAAGGCCGCGGCUCAACCGCGGAAUUGGACAUAAAACUGGUAAGCUGGGGUGCAGGAGAGGUAAGGGGAAUUCCCGGUGUAGCGGUGGAAUGCGUAGAGAUCGGGAGGAACACCAGAGGCGAAGGCGACUUACUGGACUGUAACUGACGCUGAGGCUCGAAAGCGUGGGGAGCAAACAGGAUUAGAUACCCGAGUAGUC